rnacentral:rRNA from 1 species
AUGUUGGGCGAGACCCAGCUGCCCGUGACGGCGCUGAUCGGUCGGAAGCGGCGCUGGGACAAGGACGACGCCGCCGCCAGCUACGAAGAAGCCAGCGAUGGUACCCCGAAGGAGCAAGCCCCUAUGGCUAUGGAGAUCGCGGCCAGCCCAACAACCCGCGACGAGGAGAAGCGGGAGGACGAGGAUAUGGCUGUUCCGGCCUGCAAGAUGGGUGAGCAACCCCUUACGGAAAUUGGAAGUUCGACCGUCUCGACUGUGUAG